GGUCUAUCGUGUUGGGAUAUCAAAAGAAAUUGUAACGCUUCUCUACCGUGUAUUCCAAGUCUGUAUUGGCUGCAAAUCCGAUAAAUAUAUCUGAAGAGGGAAAAAUGGGAGCUUCCAUUCAUAGAUCAUCGAGAGACAGAGGCAUAGGAGGAAAAUCAAAUCUCCAUACUUAAAGCCUUCCUUUGGUAUGUUUGGUUAUGGAGGGCCUAUUGCAUCUAUGCAUUUAGGCACGUAUGUCUUGCUAAAGUUUAGAAUGACUUCAUUUUAGACAAAAAAACAAGGACUUACUUCUUUUCAUGCUCUGCCUUUUCUGUAGAAGAGCCUCUGUUUCAUCAAAAACAAAGGAGUGUAACAUUGUGUGUGUGUAUAUAUAUGAACUGAGUACUAUUAUCCAUGUGGGGGUCCGGGUAUUGUGAUUUUGAAAUUAUAACUUGUUGCUUCAAGCAUCAUUUUCCGUUUCUUUUGCUUAUUACCUAUUCCAUUUGUACUCCAGCUAUUGUAAUACCCCUUAGAACAGGCCUUUCUGUAUUACACAGUUCACACUUCUUUUCUCUUUUUGGAUUUUGCUGAGUGUAUGCUACUACAAAUUUCCUAUUGUUAGUAUAUGAACUUUGCAGGUAUCGAAUUUACUUGACCUUGUCAAACUUUGGUCUCUCCCCAACUGAUUGGCACUGAGGAAUAAUAGUAGUUGUUAUUGUUCAAACUUUGAGAAUUCAUUUCCAGAAUUUAAUGUCAAUAGUCAUUGUGAUAACUAUUAUUUUAGUUAGAUGACAAUCAUUAGAGAGCUGGAAGGUCACAUAAAAUGGUUUGUGGAUCAACAAACAUUGUAGCUGAUGAUGGUACCACAGUCUGGUGCAUGUGGUGAUUGAUGAUUGUGAUGAAGUAUCAAAAACAGGAAAAACUGUGAUGCCUAUUGAAUUUCAGGUCAAUGACACUAAUUUAGCGGAAAUUGAAGGUGGAGAGGUUACUGUCCUGCAAUGGUCCAGAGUUUUUAAUGCAACUUAGCUUUCACGUAAAGGAUAGCAGUGAUUGAAAGUUUGUUCAGGAACAAAAUCCUCCUCCGGAGCACAUGCUCACCUGAGGUGUGUUUAUUUUCCGGUGGUGCAGGGUAGAGAGAGUAUUGAGGUGAUAUUGGAAAAGCUAGAGGCAGAUGGGUAUGGAAUUACCGAGAAUUUUGAAACUGUCCGUUGGUCGGGUCGUCUGCUUCCAGAUGCUCGUUGGGUAAGAUCAGAAUCUUUCUGUUAUUCAUAGUUUACAAAUUAUAAUUUACCAGUCUUGUAUUCCAUCACUACAGUCUGCCAAAUAAUACCUUCAUGAUAAUAUAUGUCCAAAAUUUGAAAGAAGGAACAUGUGUGCCUGUAAUUUACGUGUAUAUUGUGUUAUUCUCUGUUUUGUUUCUUUUUAUGGAACCAAAGCCAAGAAAAAGUGAUAGGGCUGAAGUCCUGAAGAGAUGCUGCUUUAGAGUAAAAUGCUUCAUAGGUAUAAAACCAUUUGUACAAAACAAGUGCUCUCUUAUUAAUGAAUAAGCAAUUGCUUCUUUUCUCCAAGCAUCACUGAGCAAUAUUCUGCUUGCAAAGACCGAUGCUGGUUUCAACCCAACACCGUCAAAGGUACAAGAUAGCUUUCCAAAAUUUCUGACGACUUGACUGAGGAUUUAAUUGCACGUCAGCACGUGUAUAUACAGAAACGCAUUUCCGGAAUGCAAAAUGAGAAUAUUUAUAUGCAUGUCUAUAUAUCAAGGCAGUAACUAUUCCAUGUGCAGUUAUUCCAGGACCAUUGCAGCAUAUCCCGCUGCAUCCUGUAGAUUUUGGCAAAAAUCAAUUGGCAUGCACCAAGGCACCAACACAAAUAAAGGGGCAUUAACUAAUCCGCGUGACUCGAGGUAUAAAAUUUAAAAACUUUUGUGUGUCUAUGUGCACAUACAAAACUAUACAAGUUACAUACCACAAUAGAUGGUACAACUAGAAUAACUCGUAUUUGGCUCAGAUCUCUUUGAAAAUAUCUAUAUUUUUUAAUUUUAGCUAAGCCCCAACAAUAAAUGUAUAAAGGAACCAUACCAUACCCAAUAACACCUUGAUUGGUCUUAGACCAGUUAUAUUGUGAUAGGUCAGAAAUACACCAUCGAGCAAUGGUUAUAGCAACUCGUGAGCUAGUUUCGAUUAGAGCACUAAAAUUUGGAGAAAUCGAUGUACCCCUGGUGAGAAAGGGAUUGGUCGAUUUUAUGACAGACUGUUGCAUUAAAUAAAAAGCAUUUCAAUGUUUUAUCCACGCCGCUCUUUCUUUGUAAAAUUUUCUUUUCCACUAGAUCCUAACAUCCACUUCCUCCCUUAUCAUGAUGUAUAUUGAUACAGUUGAAUAUCAUAAAAAUCUCUAACUAAGACCGUAGAUUCUCUGCUACCAUAAAUUAGCAGCCAAAGGAACAUCGAAAUUGAUGAAGAAUUGUAUCAGAGCUCAUGCAUGAUGGCUUUAUCGAUGCCCAUUAGCAUUAAUUAAGUAUUUUUUUGGUUUUGUAUCUCUUAUCGUGAAACUCUAGUGAUAGAAUGAGCAUCUUCAAUUGAGUAGAAAAGUCAUUAAUUCACUAAACAAUCGAAGGUAAUACAGAGGGGACAAUAGAGGGAUAAGGAGAACGUGCACCUUCUCAUUGUCCAUAGACAUUUUCCGUUGUUACCCAUUCAUCGUUGAAUCUCCGGAGAUAUCCAGAAGAGUGAGACUGGCGCCUUUGAGGGGAAGAGUGGAGAACAACAGUUUUGAUGGCAAAG